UACGUAGGGUGCGAGCGUUGUCCGGAAUUAUUGGGCGUAAAGAGCUCGUAGGCGGUGUGUCGCGUCGGCCGUGAAAACCUGCAGCUUAACUGUGGGCUUGCGGUCGAUACGGGCAUCACUGGAGUUCGGCAGGGGAGACUGGAAUUCCUGGUGUAGCGGUGGAAUGCGCAGAUAUCAGGAGGAACACCAAUGGCGAAGGCAGAUCUCUGGGCCGUAACUGACGCUGGAGGAAGCGAAAGCAUUGGGGAGCGAACAGG
rnacentral:rRNA from 1 species